UGGGGAAUUUUGGACAAUGGGCGCAAGCCUGAUGCAGCCAUGCCGCGUGUGUGAAGAAGGCCUUCGGGUUGUAAAGCACUUUCAGCGAGGAGGAAGGUGGUGAACUUAAUACGUUCAUCAAUUGACGUUACUCGCAGAAGAAGCACCGGCUAACUCCGUGCCAGCAGCCGCGGUAAUACGGAGGGUGCAAGCGUUAAUCAGAAUUACUGGGCGUAAAGCGCACGCAGGCGGUUUGUUAAGUCAGAUGUGAAAUCCCCGGGNUCAACCUGGGAACUGCAUUUGAAACUGGCAAGCUAGAGUCUCGUAGAGGGGGGUAGAAUUCCAGGUGUAGCGGUGAAAUGCGUAGAGAUCUGGAGGAAUACCGGUGGCGAAGGCGCCCCCUGGACGAAGACUGACGCUCAGGUGCGAAAGCGUGGGGAGCAAACAGAUUAGAUACCCUGGUAGUCCACGCUGUAAACGAUGUC
rnacentral:rRNA from 1 species